rnacentral:tRNA from 1 species
GCCCCGGUAGCUCAGCUGGAUAGAGCGUCCCCCUCCUAAGGGGAAGGUCUCAGGUUCGAAUCCUGACCGGGGCACCA